AACCAUUCAUUUUGAUGCAAGGCAGGGGUGUCCAGACCUGCUCUAGGAAAGCCAGUGUUCUCUGGAGUUUAGCUCUAACACACCUGCCUGGAACUUCUAACUAAUUAAAUUGAAGUAUCCAAAUGAAGACCCUAGCAGUAUGGAGUAUAUGGAUACAGACGUUGCCAGCAAUCAGGAGGUGAUCCAUAAGACUCGUGGGAAUCUAUUUGAAGCUGCAGUCAUUGAAGACAGUUCAGCAGAAGUUGGAGUUUUAGAGGAUAAAGUUCUUCAGGACCUAUAGCAGUUUACAGUCUGCAAAACCAUGUUUCUGGGACUGAUAUAUGGACUGAACUUGAGCAACCCUCCUGAACUCAGGUACACUUUUGGAAUACUGAAGAAGUUAUUUCUGGAGCCAGUUCCUGUUCCUGGAAUAAGGUUUGAUUGGUUACCCAUGAAUGCCAGUUAGAAAAUGAGUAGUUUCAUAUUUCCGCUAUUUUGUGUAAUUUUGUAACAUGGUUUCAACUGUAUUUA